GUAGGGUGCGAGCGUUAAUCGGAAUUACUGGGGCGUAAAGCGUGCGCAGGCGGUUGUGCAAGACAGAUGUGAAAAUCCCCCGGGGCUCAAACCUGGGGAAUUGCAUUUGUGACUGCACGGCUAGAGUGUGUCAGAGGGGGGUAGAAUUCCACGUGUAGCAGUGAAAUGCGUAGAGAUGUGGAGGAAUACCGAUGGCGAAGGCAGCCCCCUGGGAUAACACUGACGCUCAUGCACGAAAGCGUGGGGAGCAAACAGGAUUAGAUACCCUGGUAGUCCACGCCCUAAACGAUGUCAACUAGUUGUCGGGUCUUAAUUGACUUGGUAACGCAGCUAACGCGUGAAGUUGACCGCCUGGGGUGUACGGUCGCAAAGAUUAA
rnacentral:rRNA from 1 species